CUCAAGUCACCUUCGACUUCAGCGGUACCACGCCUUUUUCUUGCCUCGUAGCCCAGGACAGAAAGUUUGCCAGAUACACAUUUCUUUAAAGCCCUGCUCACCAAUUCGGGAGUGGCCCCUUUAAAUGCAAAUGAACUGCCUUCUCGCUCUCGCCCCCCGCCCCCAUCCCAACUUCGCUCCUCGUGCCCAGACUCCGCCAGCUGCCAUUGACGUCACGCGUGCGUCAGCGUCGCCAGCCCAACCAGACGGCACGUGGGGGGAAGAAGGUGGCCUUAAAGGGCCAGCCGCCUUCGGACGGCAGGGUCGCAGCUGUGAGUUUGGCCUUGGAAAGGAGGCAUGAAAUGAGAGGUGGGGAAAUCUAUUGGAGCGAGAGGACAUGCAGGAUAGACGUUAGGAAGGACAGGAGGAGAUCGCGGGUGACCAAGGGCACAUUGAAAGGCCCACGCAAACCUGGUGGCCGAGUGACAACAGUAUUUUGGGGGAGCCUCGCAGAGGUUUGUGGAAGGUCUCUGAGAUGUCUCCCCGUCUCGUGGCGGGGGCAGCAGGGAAGCGACGUAUGAAGCAAGAGUUAUCAAGAAAGGGCCCGAAAGCUGUCCUCUGCUGGAGAGUAAUCUCUGCACCCGACGUGGGGCUCAAACUCACGGCCCCGAGAUCAAGGGCUGGAGGCUCUUCCAACUGAGCCAGCCAGUAGCCUCAGAGAGACAGAGCGUGAGCAGGGGAGGGGCAGAGAGAGAGGGAGACACAGAAUCCGAGGCGGGCUCCAGGCUCCGAGCCGUCAGUGCAGCACCCGAUGCGGGACUUGAACUCACUGACUGCGAGAUCGUGACCUGAGCUGAAGUGGGACACUUAACCGACUGAGCCACCCCAGAGCCCCAGGUUGGUUACAUUUUAAGUAAGAUGCAGAAAUGCGGACAGAGUUAUUAUUAUUUUUCAGCGUUAUUGAGAUAUCAUUGACAUAUAAUACAUUAUAUCAAUUUCAGGUGUGCAAUGUAGCAAUUCGAUGCGAAUUCCUAUUGAGAAAGGAUCACCACAGAAGGUUAGUUAACACUCCACCACCAUCAUCGUGUGCCCACGGGUGUGCGUGGCGAGGACAUUUAGGACCUGUUCUCAGCAACUAUCACGUGUCGCUAACUGUAGUCACCACGCUGUGAGUUACACGCUCAGCACUGGCUCCUCUCCUGACCGGAAGGUUGUGCCCUUUGACUAACAUCCGCCAUUUCUACCCCUGCCCCCGAGAACAGUGUGAUUCAGUCCUUUAACAAACAUUUAUUGCCUGCUGCGGCCGUACCCGGGACAUCUUGUUAGCAGGUCUGAGUUAGCUUUGAGGGACAUCUCUCUAGGUCCCUCCAUGGCCGGGUCCCGCUCCCCACGUUUACGUGGAAAGAGAAAAGCGGGUCCUGUCGAGGAGAUGGCGUCAGGAUAUAAAAAGACUUCAACGUAUUAGAUAAAAAUCGGGGCGCCUGGCUGGCGGUGGAGCGAGCGACUCUCCAUCUCCGGUUGUGAGUUCGAGCCCCACGCCGGGGGCACAGACUACUUUAAAAAAUCUUUAAACGUGUGUCCGUACAUAUGAGAUAAAAGGAGUGAAGAUGUUCCUCUCCACCCUUGGUGAUCGUGUAUUGCUAUGUAACGAACCGCCUUAAAACGUAGUGGCUCAGAACAACAAUAACAGUGUGAUGGGUAUGAUUAUGGUUCUGGGCCUGACCGAGCUCAGCCGGGCGGCUCUCUCCCAGGGCCGCUCCGGUGGCUGGAGGGCCCCCAGAGGCUUCCGCUCACGCUCAGUUGCCAGCUGGGGCGUCCACCGCCAACGUCCCUGGACACUGACGCUUCUGCACGAGACCUCGGCUUCUUCACCGCGUGACCGGAGGCUUCCAAAAGAGGAUGUCCCCCAGGACCAGACGGAAGUCACCACAUUUCUUACGACGUUGCCGUAGAAGUCAACAGCCUCGCUCUCAGGGUGAAUAUAGAUUCGAGGGGAGGGAGCACCGAUGUCGCCUCUCAGUGGCAGCCGUGCUGCUGUCACAGCAAGAGCACAGGCACGGGGAUUCUGUCCUGUCCACCUUAGAUGAUACAGUCCGUUGGGGCGCCCGGGUGGCUCAGUCGGUUGAGCGUCCGACUUCGGCUCAGGUCACGAUCUCACGGUCGGUGAGUUCGAGCCCCGCGUCGGGCUCUGGGCUGAUGGCUCAGAGCCCGGAGCCUGCUUCGGAUUCUGUGUCUCCCUCUCUCUCUGCCCCUCCCCGACUCAUGCUCUGUCUCUCUCUGUCUCAGAAAUAAAUAAACAUUAAAAAAAAAAUUUU